GGAAGGAUCAUUACAAAUCCAUCCAUCCACGUCUAAUGGCCUAACCCGCCUGCAGACCACGUUGAAAAAGUUCCCCAAGUCGAGCCUCUCUCUCUCUCUCUGAGGGGGAGGGGCUUGUGCUUGGGUUCUUGUGCGAUGACCCUUCACUGGGUGACGCGCCACUAGUCUUUUUCUGUUGUUUCAAAUGUAUACUGGAUCAUCAUCCAUUAAAAUGAUAACCAAAGUACAACUUAUAACAAUGGAUCUCUAGGCUCUUGCAUCGAUGAAGAACGCAGCUAAACGCGAAAUGUGUUAUGACUUGCAAUCUUCGCGAAUCAUUUAAUCUUUGAACGCAACUUGCAACCUUCGGGCUUGACCCUUAGGUAUACUUGUUUGAGUAUCGUUUAUGCUCUCACUCCCCUAAGGCCGUGGCUUCGGUCGCCCUUGGGAAAGUGGAUUUGAGGCGUAGGAAGGGGGCCAUGUUGCCUCUUCCUUGCCUUUAAAUAUAUGAUCUUGCUCCAAUGGACAGGUCUCGCCUGCGCAUCCGCCAGGAACCGACUUGGGAUAACGUCCGCCAAGUUUGGUUACUUGCUCCAGUUUUGGACUACCCGGUAGAGGAUUCAUCCUCUAUGCAGAUCAAAGGAACGUUGUUCGGGCUCUCUCUCGGGGGUCCUGACCGACACCAUGUUUUGACGUACCGAUCUCAAAUCAAGUAAGGUUACCCGCUGAACUUAAGCAUAUCAGUAAGCGGAGGAAAGAAACUAACAAGGAUUCCCUCAGUAGCGGCGAGUGAACCGGGAAGAGCUCAAAUUUGGAAUCUGGCAUCCGUGAGGGUGUCCGAAUUGUCAUUAAAAGGUUUCGUUUGUGCCGACCGGCAGAGUCCAAGUCCCCUGGAACGGGGCGCCAGAGAGGGUGAAAGCCCCGUACAGGCUCUGCGACACGGAAGGCAGCUCCAAACGGGCCCAACGAGUCGGAUAGUUUGGGAAUGCUGUCCUAAAUGGGUGAUACAUGUCAUCUAAAGCUAAAUAUCAGCAAGAGACCGAUAGCAAACAAGUACCGUGAGGGAAAGAUGAAAAGAACUUUGAAAAGAGAGUUAAAAGUACGUGAAAUUGUUAUAAGGGAAACGAUUCAUUCUGCGCCAGGACAGGGCCUUCCAGGGCGAGCCUUCACGGGCCCGUCUGUAUGAGGUCCUGACCCGGUUGAUCCGCUUGAGGCGGCCGGCAAACGCCUCCUGGGAAGGUGGCUCCCCUCGGGGACGCUUUAUAGACCAGGAGCAGCUGCCGGCCAUGUGCCGCAAGUGUCGACGCUUGUCGAGGCAGGCAGGUCCGGCCUGGGGGUCCUUCAUGGCCCUCCAGUCCCUGGCUUGCACCGUCAUCAACGUUGUGGAGUGAACCGACCCGUCUUGAAACACGGACCAAGGAGUGCAACUCUGAUGCGAGUCAUUGAGUGGCAAACUCAAAGGCGCAACGAAAGUAAAUGGCGUGGGAUGCAGGCGAAACCCGUCUGCUGCACCACGGCCCGGUUCUGACCGUUGGUCUGGAUCGAGGUGGAGCAUCAUGGCUGCGACCCGAAAGAUGGUGAACUAUGCCUGACUAGGGUGAAGCCAGAGGAAACUCUGGUGGAGGCUCGUAGACAUUCUGACGUGCAAAUCGAUGUUCAAAGUUGGGUAUAGGGGCGAAAGACUAAUCGAACCAUCUAGUAGCUGGUUCCCUC
rnacentral:misc_RNA from 1 species